GUUGAACGCUGGCGGCAGGCCUAACACAUGCAAGUCGAGCGAGAAAGCCCUUCGGGGUGAGUACAGCGGCGGACGGGUGAGUAACGCGUAGGAAUCUACCCAGUAGUGGGGGACAACUUGGGGAAACCCAAGCUAAUACCGCAUACGCCCUAUGGGGGAAAGCGGGGGACCUUCGGGCCUCGCGCUAUUGGAUGAGCCUGCGUCGGAUUAGCUAGUUGGUGGGGUAAAAGCUCACCAAGGCGACGAUCCGUAGCUGGUCUGAGAGGAUGAUCAGCCACACUGGAACUGAGACACGGUCCAG
rnacentral:rRNA from 1 species